CCCAGCGCCGCCGCGGGCCCGGCCGCGGCUGCCUCGGCCCGGCGCGGCGCCUUUCCCCGGCAGUUUCCUGCGGAGCUGCGCUGGGCCGGCUCCGCCGCAGCUCCCGCUGUGUCGGGGACGGGCGCCCGCAGAAAAGCCUCCCCGGAGCCCGGCUGGCCUCAGAGCUCGCACGGGCGCUCCACCCGCACCAGGUGUUGGGGCCCGAGCCCUUCCAGCCCUGCGGACCCUGGGACGAGUCCUCUGGUCCCCAAACAGGUAACGUAUCCACGGCUGGGCUGCCGGCUUGGAUUACUGUGAACGACGUAACCCGUCCUCUCCCGCUGAAAAUGGACAAAGCUUAAUGUGAUUACAAGCAGCAAGACGACAGCAGGAGUUAACUGGGAACUUGAUGAAGGGAAUUGCAAAACAGUGCAAGGGGCAGGUACCCCUGCUUAGGUUGCCCUAACAGCUCUACCUCACGUUUGCUGAACUUUUCCUUGUUUUCCCAUUUGCAGAUGCUGACAUACUCCCCCUGAGAACCUGUACCAGUGCUUUAGGCCUUUUUAUUUCAACGAUAUAAAGUGUGGCUAUGGUAGUGCAUUGGGUUGAGAUCCUUACCCUGGCUGAGCUACAGACCUGUGCCUUACCUUUUCCUUAUCAACUCCUUUGUUGGAAUUAUUAUAAUUGUAAUUCCCAUUUGCCUAUCACUCUGGCUCUUAAUGAACGCCUGAGGAUGAGUAGUAUCAUGUGGGGUGUGCCUGGAAUGAGAGAAAUGGAUGUCACAGAAAAUGGCUGUGAGCCAGCACCUACCAGGAAGAGGACACAGAACAUCUCAAGUCCAUCACUACUAAGUCAUGAGGUGGAUUUCCAUGGCACAAAAUGCUCUGCUCUCUUUGGUUUGUCCACUGGAUCAACAAGCACUUGUCUUCCUGGAUCCUCAGGGAUCCUGCCAGAUACUGACAGUUACAGCUAGAGUGGUACAAAACUGGUGGCAUGUCAUCAAGCUAGGGAUAGGAAAUUAUACCUGCCCUGAAGGUGUAAUGUUUUCAUAUCUGUUCCAUGCUGCCGAGGCUGUUUUAAUUAUUGCGCAUUGUAUAAAAUUUCUAAAAGUAAAAUUUAUCUGAAGUGUACAAGUGAAAUCUGAUUAAUAUAAAACACAGUCAUGUUUUCACAAAUCAGCAUACUAAUUCAGACCACAGUACAGAGAGGAGAAAAAAAGGAUAAUCAUAAACCAUGGAACAAAACUGCUGUCAAGAGAUUUGUAGAAUAAUCAAAGUUACUUCAACAUUCAAUGGAGUUUAAAACCAUGAAAAGUCAGAUUUUCUUGUGCAUAAAGAAAACCCUGUAAUCCAAUAUAUCCUUUAACUAUGACACAGUCUGUGCAGCAGAAGCAUGAAAAUAAAAGGAGAGCCUGUGAUAAAUGGUUUGAAGAA
rnacentral:lncRNA from 1 species